rnacentral:tRNA from 2 species
GUCGCGCAUGGCCGACGGCGUAUGGUCGGCCAUGAACAGGCUGGACGGCACAUGCUGGCCGCUGGCCUGUUCCAGCCAGGCGGCGCGCUGC